rnacentral:rRNA from 1 species
AAGCGGAGGAAAAGAAACCAACAGGGAUUGCCUCAGUAGCGGCGAGUGAAGCGGCAAGAGCUCAGAUUUGAAAUCGUGCUUUGCGGCACGAGUUGUAGAUUGCAGGUUGGAGUCUGUGUGGAAGGCGGUGUCCAAGUCCCUUGGAACAGGGCGCCCAGGAGGGUGAGAGCCCCGUGGGAUGCCGGCGGAAGCAGUGAGGCCCUUCUGACGAGUCGAGUUGUUUGGGAAUGCAGCUCCAAGCGGGUGGUAAAUUCCAUCUAAGGCUAAAUACUGGCGAGAGACCGAUAGCGAACAAGUACUGUGAAGGAAAGAUGAAAAGCACUUUGAAAAGAGAGUGAAACAGCACGUGAAAUUGUUGAAAGGGAAGGGUAUUGCGCCCGACAUGGGGAUUGCGCACCGCUGCCUCUCGUGGGCGGCGCUCUGGGCUUUCCCUGGGCCAGCAUCGGUUCUUGCUGCAGGAGAAGGGGUUCUGGAACGUGGCUCUUCGGAGUGUUAUAGCCAGGGCCAGAUGCUGCGUGCGGGGACCGAGGACUGCGGCCGUGUAGGUCACGGAUGCUG